rnacentral:rRNA from 1 species
AUUGAACGCUAGCGGCAGGCCUAACACAUGCAAGUCGAGCGGAGGAAGUGAUCUUGCUCCUGGAUUCAACGGCGUACGUUUGAUUAAUGCCUAGGAAUCUGCCUGGUAGUGGUGGAUAACGUCCGAAAACGGGCGCUAAUACCGCAUACGUCCUGAAUACGGAAGUAGGGCAUCUUAGCACCUCACGCUAUCAUAUGAGCCUAGUUCGGAUUAGCUAGUUGUUGGGGUAAUGGCCUACUAGGGCGACGAUCCGUAACUGGUAUGAGAGGAUGAUCAGUCAGACUGGAAGUGAGACACGUCCGAGACUCCUAGGGGAGGCAGCAGUGGGAAAUAUUGGACAAUGGACGAGAGCGUAAUACAGCAAUGCCGGGUGUGUGAAGAAGGUCCUAGGAUUGGAAAGUAAAUUAAGUUGGGAGGAAGGGCAGUAAUUUAAUACCUUGCUGAUAUGACGUUACCAACAGAAUAAGCACCGGCUAACUUCGUG